AACUAACCUUCUCCCGGUACUUGAAUAUCACAGCAUCGGCGAGGGCAAUAUAGUAACAAAUGGGAAAUGCAACCGCCACUCACGCGCUAUCCACGUGACAUAAACGUUAGGCAGUUAACGACGCCGUUACAUCUACACUAGCGUGAUUUUUGCAGCUAAGCGCUCGAAGUAUCCUCCAAGCCGCCUCGCCGGAGCUCCGAUUGCAGUGAAAUUUACCUUUACUCUCAUUCGCCGGAAAAAGUACCGACGAACUUCGGCGGACUUGUCUGCUCUUAAUGUCGCUGAGUUCCAUCUCCG
rnacentral:misc_RNA from 1 species